rnacentral:rRNA from 1 species
AGAGUUUGAUCCUGGCUCAGGAUGAACGCUAGCGGCAGGCCUAACACAUGCAAGUCGAGGGGUAACAUAGAGUGCUUGCACUCUGAUGACGACCGGCGCACGGGUGCGUAACGCGUAUACAAUCUGCCUUACACUGGGGGAUAGCCUUUAGAAAUGAAGAUUAAUACCCCAUGGUAUGUGACUAUCGCAUGGUAGACACAUUAAAGGUUACGGUGUAAGAUGAGUAUGCGUCCUAUUAGUUAGUUGGUGAGGUAACGGCUCACCAAGACGACGAUAGGUAGGGGCCCUGAGAGGGGGAUCCCCCACACUGGUACUGAGACACGGACCAGACUCCUACGGGAGGCAGCAGUGAGGAAUAUUGGACAAUGGAGGCAACUCUGAUCCAGCCAUGCCGCGUGCAGGAAGACGGCCCUAUGGGUUGUAAACUGCUUUUAUACGGGAAGAAACACCCCCACGUGUGGGGGCUUGACGGUACCGUAAGAAUAAGGACCGGCUAACUCCGUGCCAGCAGCCGCGGUAAUACGGAGGGUCCGAGCGUUAUCCGGAAUCAUUGGGUUUAAAGGGUCCGUAGGCGGGCUAUUAAGUCAGAGGUGAAAGUUUGCGGCUCAACCGUAAAAUUGCCUUUGAUACUGGUAGUCUUGAAUUAUUAUGAAGUGGUUAGAAUGAGUAGUGUAGCGGUGAAAUGCAUAGAUAUUACUCAGAAUACCAAUUGCGAAAGGCAGAUCACUAAUAAUAUAUUGACGCUGAGGGACGAAAGCGUGGGGAGCGAACAGGAUUAGAUACCCUGGUAGUCCACGCCGUAAACGAUGGAUACUAGCUGUUCGGACUUCGGUCUGAGUGGCUAAGCGAAAGUGAUAAGUAUCCCACCUGGGGAGUACGUUCGCAAGAAUGAAACUCAAAGGAAUUGACGGGGGCCCGCACAAGCGGUGGAGCAUGUGGUUUAAUUCGAUGAUACGCGAGGAACCUUACCAGGGCUUAAAUGCAUACUGACAGGGGUGGAAACACCUUUUUCUUCGGACAGUUUGCAAGGUGCUGCAUGGUUGUCGUCAGCUCGUGCCGUGAGGUGUCAGGUUAAGUCCUAUAACGAGCGCAACCCCUGUUGUUAGUUGCCAGCGAGUAAUGUCGGGAACUCUAACAAAACUGCCGGUGCAAACCGUGGAGAAAGGUGGGGAU